UACUGCAUUUUUUCUUACACAUGUGUUUUUCUUUUUGAAAACUUUGCUUUGGUAGGCCUUCUAUAUGGGGCCUGCCAGAGAUUAAACUCAACCAAAUUUUAUUUAAUGUCAACCGAUUAUUUAAUAGUCAAAACUUUCAACAACGGAUCUCUUGGUUCUCGCAUCGAUGAAGAACGCAGCGAAAUGCGAUAAGUAAUAUGAAUUGCAGAUAUUCGUGAAUCAUCGAAUCUUUGAACGCACAUUGCGCCCUUUGGUAUUCCAAAGGGCAUGCCUGUUUGAGCGUCAUUUCUCCCUCAAACCCUCGGGUUUGGUGUUGAGCGAUACGCUGGGUUUGCUUGAAAGAAAGGCGGAGUAUAAACUAAUGGAUAGGUUUUUUCCACUCAUUGGUACAAACUCCAAAACUUCUUCCAAAUUCGACCUCAAAUCAGGUAGGACUACCCGCUGAACUUAAGCAUAUCAAUAGACGGAGG
rnacentral:rRNA from 1 species